UAUAUAUAGAGACUGUUAGGCGGUACGAAGUUCGCCGGGACAACUAGUAUAAAAUAAAUUAUCUUUGAUUUCAUUACAUGAAUCUUUUGUGUACAUUCAAAUUACACUUAAACAAAGUCACAAUAUCGAUUGUCACGUUAUCGAGAUAUUUAUGGUAUUCUGGACGAACAUGGUUAUAACGACCUGAUCAAGAAUAUAUACUUUAUGGGUUAUGCUCGUGAUUAUGCUCAUUCGCGAAUUGAAAUGGGCAGCGGAAUCUGAAUCCGGAUGCGUCCAUAAUGUUACUUCCGCUAUCUAAGAUACCAUUAAGCCUUCACGGAUACCCGAUUUGGAGAACCCAUGAGGCCCGAAUUGAAUUGGCUUGGUAUAUUCACUUAUAGGUUUUAAAUCUGGAGACAGGAGACAGCCCAAAAACUUUAUCGUCUAGAGAUUUAUAGUUAGAAACAUUAAAACUACUUUACUGUUAA